GAAGCCUGCGGUUCAAUUGGAGUCAACGCCAGGAAACUUACCAGGAGAGACAGCAGGUUGAGGGUCAGUCUGAAGAACUUACCCGACGAGCUGAGAGGAGGUGCAUGGCCGUCGCCAGCUCGUGCCGUGAGGCGUCCUGUUAAGUCAGGCAACGAGCGAGACCCCUAUCGGUAAUUGCUAACUGCUCAGAGAUGGGCAGAGGCUAGUUACAGAGACUGCCGUUGAUAAAACGGAGGAAGGAAGGGGCCACGGCAGGUCAGUAUGCCCCGAAACUCCUGGGCCACACGCGGGCUGCAGUGGUAGGGACAAUAGGUUCCGACCUCGAAAGAGGAAGGCAAUCCCCAAACCCUACCCCAGUUGUGAUCGAGGAUUGAAACCCGUCCUCGUGAAUAUGGAAUCCCUAGUAACCGCGUGUCAUCACCGCGCGGUGAAUACGUCCCUGCUCCUUGU
rnacentral:rRNA from 1 species